rnacentral:lncRNA from 1 species
GGAAAGUCUUAUUUUUGAACAAUUUUUUUGUGUUUAAUACAGAGUAUCAUAUUGUUAGUAUAGAUAAAUUUUUGCAAAAUGCCUGACUAAAUCAGCCAUCAUCACUGUUUUGAGCAUAAGGUUUGAGAUUUUAGAAAAAAGCUAAAUGAAAUGUCCAGUAUCAUACAUCAAGAUCAGAGAAAAUCGGACGCUCACAACCCGUAGCUCUGUGUUUCCAGACUGUUACACAAGCUCACUGAGAAGUGCCUUAUAUGCCUGAUUUCUCAACUUCACCUUCAGUAAACUUUUGCAAUCCCAAGGCUAGAGACCUCUUUUGUGAAGGUUGUCUGCCCAGUGAGAGUGUUGGCACGGAGAGGCCCUAGCAGAUAAAGUGGAGGAACAUAUGGAUUCUAUUUGAAUACAAAUCGCUGGACAUAACGUGGUGGUAAUUCAGCUGCAGUGUCCUCUAUAUUGUAAACGGAAAGAGUAUGAUUAGAGGUGUUUAUAAACGGCGUCUGAAUUCCCCCACACCCGCCCCACCCCCUUUCCACUGUAUUUUUAUCAGCCUGAAUCAUAGCCGUCCAGCGUCCCAGUCUCACUGUGUUGUUUGUGAAAAUGGCCAGCAUGAGGAAUUAUUAAUUAAAGCUAACAAAUCACCCUGACGAGCUGGGCUGUAGCAUGGCUGAAGGUUGAUUGGCGAAAGUGUUCUCCUUUGGAGAAAAGACUUUUUGUGCUCGUGACGCAGUCAGGGACGGAUUAUUGAAUAUUCAAGUUAGAAGAAAAAUCACAGGACAAGCAAAUUGAGUAUUUACUGGCAAAUAAUUGCUCUCUUAAGCUGUGGCUCUCUUCCUAAAUUCUUAACAUUCCCGUGGGUUAGAAAGAAACUCAGAAAAAUGCAUCGGUGCAGAGUACAUUUCAAAAAAAAUACAUAGACUGAUGUUUCAGAUUUGUGCAGAAUGUUUCACCAUCACUAACUUGAUAUUCCUCACAACAUUUCUGGCUGGCCUGGCCUCCUAUGACCAGAGACUGCUGACUCAUCCUGGCCUGUGCCAAGCUGUGCAGUCGCUUAGUGAUGUGGACAGGAGUCGAAGGACUAGAAUGAGAUCACUGAACUCAUUUCACUUGUUGCUUACGGUACAGUCCAGCAUGAGCUGGAAAUGUAGGAACCUCAGCCUCCCGAGCAGAAAGAGUAAGUAG